rnacentral:rRNA from 1 species
UACGUAGGGCGCAAGCGUUGUCCGGAAUUAUUGGGCGUAAAGAGCUCGUAGGCGGUUUGUCACGUCGGAUGUGAAAGCCCGGGGCUUAACCCCGGGUCUGCAUUCGAUACGGGCAGACUAGAGUGUGGUAGGGGAGACUGGAAUUCCUGGUGUAGCGGUGAAAUGCGCAGAUAUCAGGAGGAACACCGGUGGCGAAGGCGGAUCUCUGGGCCAUUACUGACGCUGAGGAGCGAAAGCGUGGGGAGCGAACAGG